rnacentral:lncRNA from 1 species
UGUUAGUAGGAUUCAAUUUACAUAAUGAUCUUAAUGUAAUUAACUUAUAUAAAAAACUUCUAACUAAUCACAACUAACUUCUACUUCCUUAACAAGUAUUAAGCUAAUUCUAAUUAAUAUGUAACUAUAUCUUCCACAAAAAAGCAAGUCACCAGUCUCACCUUUUUUAUCCAAAACCAAUUUUGAUAUCACAGAUACAAAGCUUGACCGUAGGUUCAAACUUCAAAUAACUGCCGUCGCAUUCACUGUCAAAUUAGUUCUUGGGACGAGUCUUCGAUCACAUGUCAGAAUCAGGAAACCAUAUGGUGACCGCUCAAAGUGCACUUUGGCAAAAUGUGGAUCUGAAAUCACUGUGUUCCAUGUUCUACAAACACAUUUACAUACGAGAACAGACUUGAUGGGAAGUCGAAGCAGGACGUCGGUGGCGAUUGGAAAUGGAAGAUCAGCAAAAGAAGGACUAAGUUCUUGAGUUUCUACUACAUCAACUUUUUCUUUCCCUGUUUUGCCUCUUUUCGUAUCCCUUGGAGAAGGGAUUAAGCUUCUUUUCCUUUCCAUAGCCACACACUGAGCUCAGUGAUGAAGUUUGGCGGCAGU